GACGAACGCUGGCGGCGUGCCUAAUACAUGCAAGUCGAACGCAGUGGGGACGGGUGAGUAACACGUGGGUAACCUCCCAUCAGAGGGGAUAACACUUGGAAACAGGUGCUAAACCGAUACUGAUGGAUGGACCCGCGGUGCAUUAGCAAGUUGGUGCGGUAACGGCUCACAAAGGCCACGAUGCAUAGCCGACCUGAGAGGGGGAUCGGCCACAGUGAGACUGAGACACGGCCCAGGCGCCUACGUGAGGCAGAAGUAGGGAAUCUUCGGCAAUGGACGAAAGUCGGACCGAGCAACGCCGCGUGAGUGAAGAAUGUUUUCGGAUCGUAAAACUCUGUUGUUAGAGAAGCGGUAUCUAACCAGAAAGCCACGGCGAACUACGUGCGAGCAGCCGCGGUAAUUC
rnacentral:rRNA from 1 species